UAGAAGAUGACGAGCGGCGGACGGGUGAGUAAUACUUAGGAAUCUACCUAGUAGUGGGGGAUAGCACGGGGAAACUCGUAUUAAUACCGCAUACGACCUACGGGAGAAAGGGGGCAGUUUACUGCUCUCGCUAUUAGAUGAGCCUAAGUCGGAUUAGCUAGAUGGUGGGGUAAAGGCCUACCAUGGCGACGAUCUGUAGCUGGUCUGAGAGGAUGAUCAGCCACACCGGGACUGAGACACGGCCCGGACUCCUACGGGAGGCAGCAGUGGGGAAUAUUGGACAAUGGGGGAAACCCUGAUCCAGCCAUGCCGCGUGUGUGAAGAAGGCCUUUUGGUUGUAAAGCACUUUAAGCAGUGAAGAAGACUCCAUGGUUAAUACCCAUGGACGAUGACAUUAGCUGCAGAAUAAGCACCGGCUAACUCUGUGCCAGCAGCCGCGGUAAUACAGAGGGUGCAAGCGUUAAUCGGAAUUACUGGGCGUAAAGGGAGCGUAGGUGGCUCGAUAAGUCAGAUGUGAAAUCCCCGGGCUCAACCUGGGAACUGCAUCUGAUACUGUUGAGCUAGAGUAUGUGAGAGGAAGGUAGAAUUCCAGGUGUAGCGGUGAAAUGCGUAGAGAUCUGGAGGAAUACCGAUGGCGAAGGCAGCCUUCUGGCAUAAUACUGACACUGAGGCUCGA
rnacentral:rRNA from 1 species